AGCAAUUAGUUCUUCAUUAUGGAGGACGGGAAGGGGAUCCAUUCCACAGCCAUGAACCCUCCAGCUUCUUCAUAUCUUUGCACGCUUCGAUUCAAAUUCCAACAUAUUAAGGAAACACCAAGACUAGAGGCCAUAUCACAGCUUUGAAUCAGACCAGAGCUGGGAAAUUAUAAAAUUCCAUGACCAGAGACCAUGGGGGAAUCUAUAGAAGCUAUUCUUGUGGUCCAGGAUUUUUCUUUAGGCAUUUCCUCUUGGCUUGGAGAAAUAAACCUGUUUUCUUGUACCUCAUCACUGUCACCCAAGAUCCUGCCAGUUAUGGGAUUUCCACUGACAGCUUUGUGAUGGUCAUGUCUCAUGGAUAACUUGAGAGAAGCAUGUUACCAUGGAAUCCUUGAAAGGUGAAGUAUUUCAGUGCAUAAGAAGUUGGUGUAUAUUUGGAAUGUUUGGAAUGGAACAGUG